UACGAAGGGGACUAGCGUUGUUCGGAAUUACUGGGCGUAAAGCGCACGUAGGCGGACUCUUAAGUCAGGGGUGAAAUCCUGGAGCUCAACUCCAGAACUGCCUUUGAUACUGGGAGUCUUGAGUUCGGGAGAGGUGAGUGGAACUGCGAGUGUAGAGGUGAAAUUCGUAGAUAUUCGGAAGAACACCAGUGGCGAAGGCGGCUCACUGGACUGGUAUUGACGCUGAGGUGCGAAAGCGUGGGGAGCAAACAGGAGUUAG
rnacentral:rRNA from 1 species